GACGAACGCUGGCGGCGUGCUUAACACAUGCAAGUCGAACGGAAAGGCCCUGCUUGCAGGGUACUCGAGUGGCGAACGGGUGAGUAACACGUGGGUGAUCUGCCCUGCACUUCGGGAUAAGCCUGGGAAACUGGGUCUAAUACCGGAUAGGAGCCAUUUUUAGUGUGAUGGUUGGAAAGUUUUUUCGGUGUAGGAUGAGCUCGCGGCCUAUCAGCUUGUUGGUGGGGUAAUGGCCUACCAAGGCGGCGACGGGUAGCCGGCCUGAGAGGGUGGACGGCCACAUUGGGACUGAGAUACGGCCCAGACUCCUACGGGAGGCAGCAGUGGGGAAUAUUGCACAAUGGGCGCAAGCCGGAUGCAGCGACGCCGCGUGGGGGAUGACGGCCUUCGGGUUGUAAGCUCCUUUCGCUAGGGACGAAGCUUUUUGUGACGGUACCUAGAUAAGAAGCACCGGCUAACUACGUG
rnacentral:rRNA from 1 species